AGAGUUUGAUCAUGGCUCAGAACGAACGCUGGCGGCGUGGAUAAGACAUGCAAGUCGAACGGGAAUGAACGGGUAGCAAUAUUCGGACAUUCUAGUGGCGAAAGGGUGCGUAACACGUAGGUCAUCUACCUCCAAGUGUGGGAUAGCUCGGCGAAAGCCGGAUUAAUACCGCAUGUGGUUCAGGAACGUCAGUCCGAAAAUUAAAGCCGGGGAUCGUAAGACCUGGCGCUUGGAGAUGAGCCUGCGGCCUAUCAGCUUGUUGGUGAGGUAACGGCCCACCAAGGCUAAGACGGGUAGCUGGUCUGAGAGGACGACCAGCCACACUGGAACUGAGACACGGUCCAGACACCUACGGGUGGCAGCAGUCGAGGAUUUUUCUCAAUGGGCGAAAGCCUGAAGGAGCGACGCCGCGUGGGGGAUGAAGGUCUUCGGAUUGUAAACCCCUGUCACUUGGGAACAAAUUGGUUUGCCUAAUACGUUGACCAUUGAUUGUACCAGGAGAGGAAGACGUGGCUAACUCUGUGCCAGCAGCCGCGGUAAUACAGAGACGUCGAGCGUUGUUCGGAUUCAUUGGGCGUAAAGGGUGCGUAGGCGGUCGGGUAAGUCGGACGUGAAAUCCCAGAGCUUAACUCUGGAAGGGCAUCCGAAACUACCUGGCUCGAGGACUGGAGGGGAGACUGGAAUUCUCGGUGUAGCGGUGAAAUGCGUAGAUAUCGAGAGGAACACCUGUGGCGAAGGCGGGUCUCUGGACAGUUCCUGACGCUGAGGCACGAAAGCUAGGGUAGCAAACGGGAUUAGAUACCCUAGUAGUCC
rnacentral:rRNA from 1 species